rnacentral:misc_RNA from 1 species
UUCGUUCAGUUACAUCGUUACUCCUUCGGGCCUUGGUAGCGCAGCUAACGCGUGAAGUUGACCAUAUGGGGAGUACGGUCGCAAGAUUAAACUCCAAAGGAAUUGACGGGGACCCGCACAAGCGGUGGAUGAUGUGGAUUAAUUCGAUGCAACGCGAAAACCUUACCUACCCUUGACAUGUCUGGAAUCCCGAAGGGGUUGGGAGUGCUCAUAGAGAACCGGAACACAGAGUGCUGCAUGGCUGUCGUCGAAGAGCUCGUGUCGUGAGAUGUUGGGUUAAGUCCGCAACGAGGCACAACCCUUGUCAUUAGUUGCUACGAAAGGGCACUCUAAUGGAGUGCCGGUGACAAACCCGGAGGAAGGUGGGGAUGACGUCAAGUCCUCAUGGCCCAUAUGGUGGGGCUUCACGUCAUACAAUGGUCGGGACAGAGGGUCGCCAACCCGCGAGGAGAGGAGCCAAUCCCAGAAGCGAUCGUAGUGGAUCGCAGUCUGCAACUCGACUGCGUGAAGUCAGAAUCGCUAAUCGUGGAGAUUCAGCAUGUCGCGGUGAAUACGUUCCCGGGUCUUGUACACACCGCCCGUCACACCAUGGGAGUGGGUUUUACCAGAGAUAGUUAGCCUAACCGUAAGGAGGGCGAUUACGUGCAGGAUUCAUGACUGGGGUGAAGUCGUAACAAGGUAA